UCGAGUUUUUUUCGGUUUACCCCGAAAACUCCCACCCUUGUGUAUUUUCGCUGAAAAGCAGCUUCGGCGGGCCGUCUCCUAACCUUAGAAAUAGGGUGUGGGGACAUCGGCUCACUGCGGAUUUGUGUCCGCCGAAGAACCCAACUCUUUUACAAUUUGAAGUCUGAUAAAACAAACAAAAUAAAUCA
rnacentral:misc_RNA from 1 species